GUUAGGAAUAUUGGACAAUGGGCGCAAGCCUGAUCCAGCCAUGCCGCGUGAACGAUGAAGGCCUUCGGGUUGUAAAGUUCUUUAGCCGAUGAUUAUAAUGACUGUAGUCGGAAAAUAAGCCCCGGCUAACUUCGUGCCAGCAGCCGCGGUAAUACGAAGGGGGCGAGCGUUAUUCGGAAUCACUGGGCGUAAAGCGUGCGUAGGCGGUCUCGUAAGUUAGGAGUGAAAGCCCAGGGCUCAACCUUGGAAUUGCUCUUAAAACUGCAAGGCUAGAAUCUGGGAGAGGAUAGCGGAAUUUCCAGUGUAGCAGUGAAAUGCGUAGAUAUUGGAAGGAACACCAGUGGCGUAAGCGGCUAUCUGGACGAGUAUUGACGCUGAGGCACGAAAGCGUGGGGAUCAAACAGGAUUAGAUACCCUAGUAGUCC
rnacentral:rRNA from 1 species